UACGUAGGUGGCAAGCGUUGUCCGGAUUUACUGGGCGUAAAGAGCGCGCAGGCGGUCGUUCAAGUCGCGUGUGAAAGCCCCCGGCUCAACUGGGGAGGGUCACGCGAUACUGAUCGACUCGAAGGCAGGAGAGGGUAGUGGAAUUCCCGGUGUAGUGGUGAAAUGCGUAGAUAUCGGGAGGAACACCGGUGGCGAAGGCGGUUCUCUGGGCAUGAUCUGACGCUGAGGAGCGAAAGUGUGGGGAGCGAACAGG
rnacentral:rRNA from 1 species